UUUUUUUUAAAAUUUUUUUUAUUUUCUUUUAUCGUGGUGGUUUGUUGACCAACCAUCUUUUCCUUUCCAUGUUUCUUUGUGCUUGCUUAUUUUUGAUUCCAUGACAUAUUGCUUCUUUUGUUUAUUGUUCAACAUGUCAGACAAUUAGAGCAUGCAAUGCCGCAUAAUUGGUUUUCUUCUUGGUGUCUAAGAAUGUAGUAUUUGAGAGGAACUGAGUUUUCAAUUCACAUUGUGCGGUAGUUGACGGAAAUUUAUCAUAUUAGCUUUUAUCUUUCAUGCUUGCAAUGAGCAAUUGUAAUUCCUGUUUGUGGGAUGUCAUUUAUGCCCAUAUUUAUUUUGACUUUUAGCUUUGGACAUUAAGUAAUAUGCAGUUUUAGCUUCUUGUAGUGGUUUGAUGUUGGGAGCAGUAUGCCGGUGACAGUUUGGAGAAAUGCAAAGGUAUCAUGCUCCCAGCUGCACUGGUGCAGUUAAUAAUAAUCCAAUUGGUGGGGCGUCUGUUAGGGAUAAUGGCAGGGCUGACUCGUCUUCAUUGCCAGCUAAUUUCUCUAUUAAUUCUAGGCGGCCUCCUCCACUGACUGCAUACAAGUUGAAGUGUGAUAAAGAUCCCUUGAAUUCUCGACUUGGCCCCCCCGACUUUCAUCCCCAGAUUCCAAAUUGCCCUGAGGAAACACUUACCAGGGAAUAUGUGCAGUCUGGAUACAGGGAGACAAUCGAGGGACUUGAGGAAGCUAGAGAGACUUCACUGACUCAGGUUCAAGUCUUUACUAAGCCUAUUGUGAUAAGAUGCAGAGAGGCAAUCAGAAAAUGUCUGCGGGCCAUUAAUGAGUCUCGUGCUCAGAAGCGUAAGGCUGGUCAAGUCUAUGGUGUGCCUCUUUCUGGGUCAUUAUUAACUAAGCCUGGUGUCUUUCCUGAGCAAAGGGCUUGCAGUGAAGACUUCAAGAAGAAAUGGAUUGAGGGUUUAUCACAACCACAUAAGCGAUUGCGAUCUUUGGCCGAUCAGGUGCCUCAUGGUCACAGGAGGAAAUCCCUUUUUGAAGUUCUUAUCAGGAAUAAUGUUCCAUUACUAAGAGCAACUUGGUUUAUCAAAGUAACUUACCUCAAUCAGGUCCGUCCUAGUUCUGCUAGUAUUUCAUCAGGCACUCCUGAUAAAACUCAGUUGUCACGGACAGAGGUUUGGACAAAAGAUGUUAUUGAGUACUUGCAGAUACUACUGGAUGAAUUUUUCUCCAGAAAUAAUUCCUAUUCUGCUCCACACACUAAAGCUAGAUCGCCUCAAAUGCUAUAUGCUGGGUCAGUGCAGCACAGGAGUGAUCCUGCACCGGUGUUUAUUGAUGGUGAGGAGCCUUCCCUACAUUUUAAGUGGUGGUAUGUAGUACGGCUUUUACAUUGGCACCAUGCUGAAGGACUACUUCUUCCUACUGUAAUUAUUGAUUGGGUUCUUAGUCAAUUGCAGGAAAAGGAUGUACUUGAGAUUUUGCAGAUGCUGUUACCGAUCAUAUAUGGUGUUUUAGAUACCAUUGUUUUAUCUCAAACUUAUGUACGCACUCUUGCUGGAAUAGUAGUUCGUUACAUUUGUGAACCUUCUCCAGGUGGAUCAGAUCUGGUAGAUAAUUCUCGAAGGGCUUAUACAACAGCUGCUCUAAUUGAGAUGCUUCGAUACUUGAUUUUGGCUGUUCCAGAUACAUUUGUUGCUUUGGAUUGCUUUCCUUUGCCACCAAGCGUAUUGUCUUAUGCAGUAAAUGAUGGGGCUUUUGUGACGAAGGUAUCUGAGGAGGCAAGAAAGACCAAAGAUAAUUCAGCAGGAGUUGUUGGUAUGUUCAGAAAUAAAGGUCUUGAUGCUCAAUACCAGUCCUUAUCCUUUGAUCAGGUUGUUUCAUCCAUCAAGAAACAGGCAGAUAAUCUAGCAAAGGCGUCUUGUCCUGGCUAUCUGGUUCAUAGUGUAGCAAAAGCUUUACAAGCAUUGGAUAAAGUGCUUUUGCAGGGAGACGUUAGAGAGGCUUAUAGUUUUCUAUUUGAAAAUUUUUGUGAUGGAGCUGUCGAUGAAGGUUGGAUCGAAGAAGUCAGUCCUUUCCUAAGAUCAUCACUGAAAUGGAUUGGAACUGUGAACUUGUCAUUUAUUUGUUCUGUAUUUUUCCUAUGUGAGUGGGCAACAUGUGACUAUAGGGAUUUUCGGGCUGCUUCACCUCUUGAUCUGAAGUUCACUGGGAAAAAGGAUUUUUCUCAGAUUAAUAUUGCAAGUCGCCUUCUUAAGUUAAAGAUGAGAGAUUUGCAAAGUAAGUCUCGACGGAAGAAUGACAAAUCCCUUGGAAUCAAUAGUCUUGCCAAAGGUCUCAGUCAGCAUAAUUAUGUUGGCAGGGUUCCUGCAGGAAAUGGGUAUGAAAAUAAGGAUAACUCAAAAAAAGUGACUAGAAAAAAUGCUAAUUCGUCAGAUUUAUUUGAGAGCCCGGGUCCUUUACAUGAUAUCAUUGUGUGUUGGAUUGAUCAACAUGAAGUUCAAAAAGGAGAAGGUUUGAAGCGUCUUCAGCUGCUGAUAGUGGAACUCAUACGAUCUGGGAUUUUUUACCCCCAUUCAUAUGUAAGGCAGCUGAUAAUUAGUGGAAUUAUGGAUACAAGUGGGCCUGUAGAUGACCAUAACAAAUGGAAGAGACAUUAUCAAAUUUUGAAACAACUACCUGGACUCUUCAUCCAUGAUGUUCUGGAAGAGGCAAGGAUUGCAGAAAGGUCAGAACUUUUGGAGGCCAUGCACGUUUACUCAAAUGAACGCCGUCUUCUCCUACGAGGGGUCCUUUGUGAGCAAUAUCAAAAUUCAUCCAAAUCAAAUAUAUCAAUGCAGAAGCAAAAGCAUCAUCUAACCUCUGUAAAGGAUGGUGGUUCCACAGCUUCUUUUGAUCAGUUGAAAAUUAUCCAGUCCUGUUCAGAUACUUUGACUUCUAAAAAGGUCAAGUCCAAUGCCGAUAUUGGGGAACUGAAGGCUUCCAUUUUAUUGCUGUUACAGAUUCCUAACCUGUCCACAUCUUCAGACAUGGGACUGGAUGAAUCUCAGGGAAGUGUUAAGAGGGCUGCGGAGUCAAUAUCCAACAAAAUGGAUUUAGUAGAAGGUACACCAGGGUGCGAGGAUUGUAGAAGGGCAAAGAGACAAAAGUUAAAUGAAGAAAAGAGCUUUUGUUUUCAGGGUCAUUCUCCAAUAUCAGAUGAUGAAGAUACAUGGUGGAUGCGGAAGGGUCCCAAAUCCUUAGAUUCUUCCAAAGUUGAUCUACCACAGAAGUCAUGCAAACAGGUCUCCAAGGGUAGGCAAAAGGUUGUGCGUAAAAGUCUAGCUCAGUUGACAGCUGCUAGGAUUGAGGGUAGCCAGGGAGCUUCUACAAGUCAUGUAUGUGAUAACAGGGUUGGCUGCCCUCAUCAUAGAAAUGGAACAGAAGGAGAUACUCUCAAGUCAGUGGAUGGAAUCAGAACAUUGCAUGGUGGAGAUAUUGUUUCAAUUGCAAAAGCUUUAAAGCAACUGCGUUUUCUAGAGAAGAGAUCCAUUACUGUUUGGUUGGUGACUAUUGUUAAACAGCUUGUUGAGGAGACUGAAAGGAAUGUUGCCAAGGCCAACCAGUUCGCUAGGCCUUUUGUUUCUGCUGAUGAUAGAAGCUCCAUUCGAUGGAAGCUUGGUGAGGAUGAGCUCUCUGUUGUAUUGUAUUUAAUGGAUGUUUGUAAUGAUUUAGUUUCUGCAUCCAAGUUAUUGCUUUGGUUAUUGCCGAAGGUAGUCAGCAAUCCCAGUCCUACAAUCCAUAGUGGGAGGAACAUUAUGAUGCUGCCAAGAAAUGUGGAGAACCAUGCAUGUGAAGUGGGAGAGGCAUUUUUGUUAUCAUGCCUCCGAAGGUACGAGAACAUACUUGCUGCAACAGACCUUAUUCCUGAAGUCUUGACAGCUGCAAUGCAACGUGUUGCAGCACUACUGGCUUCUGGUGGCAGGGUUUUAGGUUCAGCAGUCUUAACUUAUAGUCGGCAUUUGUUGAAGAAAUAUGCCAAUGUGCCGAGUGUCUUUGAAUGGAAUAAGAGUUUCAAAUCAACUUGUGAUAAGAGACUUCUUUCUGAACUUGAACCUAGUAGAUCACUGGAUGGAGAGUUUGGAUUUUCACUUGGAGUUCCAGCAGGAGUUGAAGAUCUUGAUGAUUUUCUUCGUCAAAAGAUGAGUGGUAAUCGGAUGACUAGAGCUGGUAUCAGCAUGAAAGAUAUAGUUCAAAGGCACAUUGAUGAUUCUUUUCACUAUUUCUUUGGUAAGGAGAGAAAGUUCUUUGGUGCUGGUACACAAAAAGGUCCUGGAUAUGAAAAAUCUGAUGAUGGUUACCAGAUAGCUCAACAAAUAAUUGUGGGAUUGCUGGAUUGCUUUAGGCAGACUGGUGGUGCUGCUCAAGAAGGUGACCCUUCUUUGGUCUCUUCUGCCGUAUCUGCUAUAGUCAAUAAUAUUGGACCAACUAUAGCAAAAAUGCCUGAUUUUACAGUGGUUUCUAACCAUUCGAAUUCUUCAUCUGCUAUGGCUUCAUUAAGUAUUGCUAGACGUAUUUUGCGUAUCCAUAUAAGCUGCAUCUGUCUGCUUAAGGAAGCCCUUGGAGAGCGUCAGAGCCGUGUUUUUGAGAUAGCUCUUGCAACAGAAGCCUUUUCUGCUCUUGCUACAGCUUUUGCUCCAGGAAAGGCUUCUCGAAGUCAGUUUCAACUGUCUCCUGAAGAUUCCAAUGUGAACAUUGAUAUGUUGAACAAUUCUGCAAGAUCUGGAAGGGUAACAAAAAUUGCUGCUGCAAUCUCUGCUCUUGUUGUUGGGGCUGUUAUUCAUGGUGUUACAAGCUUGGAGAGAAUGGUAAAUGUCUUCAGAUUAAAGGAAGGGUUAGAUGUAAUUCAAUUUAUAAGGAGCACAAAAUCCAAUUCAAAUGGAAACACGCGUUCUACUCCAGGUUUUAAGGUGGAUAACUCGAUUGAAGUUUAUGUGCAUUUGUUUAGGCUGCUUCUUGGGAAUUGCAGAACUUUAUUUGAUGGUUUAAUUGUGGAACUCCUGGGCGAACCAUCUAUAGUCGCUCUUUCAAGGAUGCAGCGAAUGCUCCCUCUUAGUUUGGUAUUUCCACCUGCCUAUUCUAUAUUUGCCUUUGUUAUAUGGAGACAAAUUAUUCUUAGCAAAGAUCUUGCAAACCGUGAAGACAUAAAUCAAUUCUAUCAAUCUUUGACAACGGCCAUAGGUGAUGUCAUAAAGCACCAUCCUUUUCGGGAUGUAUGCUUAAGAGACAGUCAAGGCUUUUAUGAUAUUGUAGCUGCAGAUGCCAGUGAUGCUGAGUUUGCUGCCAUGUUAAGUGGUUUGGACAUGCACUCUAAAUCUGCAGCAUUUGUUCCCCUUCGUGGAAGGCUGUUUUUAAAUGCCAUCAUUGAUUGUAAAAUGCCUGAGUCUGUGUCCACUCAGGAUAACAGCAAUCGAGUUUCUGGACUUGGUGGAUCUAAAGGACAACAUUCAGAGAGCGAAACAAAGCUUCUGGAUAAGAUUGUGAAUGUAUUGGAUACUCUGCAACCUGCAAAAUUCCAUUGGCAGUGGGUUGAACUUAGGUUACUUUUAAAUGAACAAGCCCUUGUUGAAAAGCUUGAGGCCCAUGAUAUGUCUCUAGCAGAUGCUAUCCGUUCAUCCUCACCUGGUCCUGAAAAAGACGCUGCUUCUGAAAAUGAGAAUAAUUUCAUUGUGAUCAUCCUCACAAGAUUAUUGGUCAGACCUGAUGCUGCACCCCUUUUCUCGGAGUUGGUUCAUCUUUUUGGUAGGUCACUGGAAGAUUCAAUGCUAUUGCAGGCUAAAUGGUUCUUAGCAGGCCAAGAUGUUCUUUUGGGACGAAAAACUAUUAGACAACGUCUUAUUAAUAUUGCAGAGAGUAAAUGUCUUUCAACUAAGGCUCGGUUUUGGAAGCCAUGGGGCUGGUCAGGUUUUGAUCCUCUGACAAGCGGAGGAGAGAAAAAGAAGUUUGAGGUCACCUCCCUUGAAGAAGGGGAGGUUGUUGAAGAUGGCACAGGCAUAAAAAGAUCUGGAAAAGGAUCAACUCAAAUGUUUAAUUCUGAAGGGUUCAGCAUGAGCCAACAGUACAGAACUGAAAGGGCUCUCAUUGAAUUAGUUCUUCCCUGCAUAGAUCAAGGUUCUGAUGAGUCACGCAAUACAUUUGCAAGCGAUUUGAUUAAGCAAUUGAAUAAUAUUGAGCAACAUAUAAAUACAGUUACUCGCGGUGCAAGCAAGCAGGCAGGAUCAAGUUCUUCUGGGCUGGAAGGUCCUGCAAAUAAGGGUAGCAACCGCAAAGUUAUGAGAAGUGGUAGUCCUGGAAUGAACAGACGGAUAGCAGGAGCUGCUGAUUCUGCUCUGCCAUCCCCUGCAGCCUUGAGAGCUUCCAUGUCAUUGCGGUUGCAAUUAUUGCUGAGAUUGCUUCCUAUCAUAUGCGCAGAUGGGGAGCCAUCUGGCCGGAACAUGAGGCACAUGCUUGCAUCUGUCAUGCUUCGCCUCCUUGGUAAUCGUGUUGUGUAUGAGGACGCAGACCUAUCAUUCUCUCCAGUGCAAAGUUCUCAAUCUAAGAUGGAGGUUGAGUCUCCAUUGGAAACUGUGUCUGCGGAUUUGUCUGGUGAAAGUCUCUUUGAUCGGCUACUGUUGGUCUUGCAUGGUUUGUUAAGUAACAGCCAGCCAAGUUGGUUGAAGCCAAGGUCUCCCUCCAAGUUAAUGAGUGAUUUUUCUAAGGACUCUGCUGGACUUGAUCGUGAGGUGGUGGAGAGUUUACAGAAUGACUUAGAUCGCAUGCAGCUGCCAGGCUCUAUUCGGUGGCGCAUCCAAGCUGCAAUGCCAGUUCUUCCUCCUUCAGUAAGAUGGUCCAUCUCUUGCCAUCUACCAUCUGUUCCUGUUGCUUCUGUUGCUUCACUUCAACCUAGUAUCACAUAUUCUGGAUUUUACACUGGAAACCCAUCGCAGAAAAGUCCUCUUCCUUUGGCACGAAUGACAACAAAUGCGCCAGGGAAGUCCAAGCCAUUGCCAUUGCAACCGGAAAAUGAUAUGGAAAUUGACCCAUGGACUCUUUUGGAAGAUGGCGCAGGAUCAGGUCCAUCUUCGAGCAACUCUGCUGUGAUUGGCAGUGGUGACCAUUCUAAUCUUCGGGCCUCCAGCUGGCUUAAAGGGACUGUAAGGGUCAGGAGGACUGACCUUACUUAUAUUGGUGCUGUAGAUGAUGACAGCUGAUUCAAGUUAACUUUCAUUCUUGAUUUGGCCUGGAGUGAACAAUUCCCUCAACAGGUAACGUUUUUGUUUAUCAUGCAUAUUUGGCAUCAAGGUUCCCCCUUGUUCUUGCCAUACCUGCCUUUGAUGGCAAAGGGAGCUGUUGGAAGGGACAUUCUUAUUGGGGCAUGUGGUCCUUGUGAAGGUAGUGAAAGAAAUAUGCUCUUACACAGCAUGCCCUGCCAGGUCUUGGGCCCACUUGACUACUAACAUUUUGAUCACUGCCUGUCUGGACUGUGUACUCCAGGUGCAGUUCGGAGACUUCUUGUAUAUAUAGAGAGAAUUUUUUAACUUUGCUGAUUCAUCAGGGUCAAAUAUCUUAAGAAUGAUUUGUAGCUGUUUCAUGUGCAUCAAUCUAUUGUUGCAUCCAUUGUCUGUCUCUCUCUGCUCUGUGUCUCUUGAAUGUGUGCAUGCACACUGAUGUGAAUGCCAGUAAUGGUUCAAUACAUGAAUAUAUGGCAAUGUUCACAGUGGCAUGUGCAGUCCAUUAGUUUAUUAUCUUCUGCGGUAGGCUUAGGACAUUGUUGAUUUAUCAAAUACCACAUCACCCCCCAACGUGUUGUUUGAUAUUGGCCUACUUCUGUAAUUAAUUGAUAUAUGGGCUAUGGGUCUCAUUGAAUUUAAAAUGAAUUCUACUUUACAACAGAUGACAGAAUCAGAAUGCAUGUAUUAUAUUUUUGCUAAUAAUACAGCCAAUGAUGGAUGAUAUGUUUGAUUUUGCUAGUGAAAAAUAGUCUUGGAUUUAAAGCUUCACGUAUUUGGAUGCCCGAUAAAGGCUUUCUGUAGUUCAUGUAAUAUUACCCUGAAACUCAACCCAGAUGCCAUGCAGAUCUUGUAUUUUCUUGGAACCUUACUUUGCCUCCAUUUGUGUAUGGACCAAACAAUGUUUCCUGUUGAUUCAAGAAUUAUCAGUGGUGUUUUUGUACAAGUGUUUAAGUGUUUUUUUGAACUAAAUGGC
rnacentral:misc_RNA from 1 species